AAAGAAGCAUUUCUUACUGGUAGUAGCUAGGAUUGCCUAGACAGGGAUCUCUUUAACUCUCAGAUUUUCCCGGUUACAAGGACUCAGCACACCCUGGCACAUUCCUUCCUGCUCCUCAAGGGAGAUCUUCCUCCCUCUGUAGCCAUGCUCUCAGUGACUCUUCUGCUACUUGGAAUGCUCUUCACAGCAAGAGGAACUGGAGCCCAGUUAGUGACCCAGCCUGAUGGUCACAUCAACGUCUCUGAAGGAAACCGUCUGGAGCUGAGAUGCAACUAUUCUUAUGGUGGAUCUAUUUAUCUCUUCUGGUAUGUCCAGUACCCCAGCCAAGGCCUCCAGUUGCUACUGAAGUAUUUACCAGGGCCCACCUGGGUUAAAGGCAUCAAAGGCUUCGAGGCUGAAUUCAAGAAGGAUGAAAACUCAUUCCACCUGAUGAAAGCUUCAGCUCAUUGGAGUGACUCUGCCAAGUACUUCUGUGCUCUGUGUGACACAGUGCCUGAGUCUGCAGGGGGAGCUGAACAAAAACCGUCUCAGACAUUGUAGCGUAAAACACUCAGGGUCUCAGCCUGACCUGGUUUUAGAGAGGUCUCUGCUCUGAUGAAAGUGAGCAGAAGGAGAAGCAGAGUCCUGGGGAGUGCGUGGUCCUGAGGAAAAACAAGGUUUUCAACGAG